rnacentral:lncRNA from 1 species
CCCUAAGGUCCUAAGAUCAUCCAAGCUAGCCCCACUCCACCCCAAGAGAAUCUCCCAUGCCCUCUCUUCCUCCCUCUUUCUCUUCUCCUUAGGCGUCCCCAUGCCAUACUACUUGGGAUGUGCAUCCCAAGUUUUGCACACGCCCAAGGAAUUGGGCGACCCUUCAUCUACUGGUUGGUGGUCUCUUGUAGUACUACAAGGUAAAGAUAAAGGCU